rfam:Aedes albopictus isolate Foshan contig76454, whole genome shotgun sequence.
UGUUCUGUGGCUUAGUUAAUUGAAGCGCCAGUCCAUCGAAUACGGAGUCGUGGGUUUGAAUCCCAUCAGAACGC